CAGAACCUUGCCCAGGAGCUAAAUAAAUUGGCUUCUCAUUUUCUCAUACUUGCCUCAGUUUCCUCAUUUUACAUUGGCAAUAAACCUUACAUUUUGGUGCCGAAACCCGGGAGGAGUUGUAAGACCCCUCCUGGGGGGGGAACUGACUCCUCCACCCGAGGCCGGACCAGGAGCCACUCUGCCAUGAGGGGCAAGCCAGUCCAAAGGAUGCAGUCCCUUCGUUUAAACUCCUCAGCCUCCUGGACAACUAAUGUGGCCCAGACUCAGAGACCCCUCUCACCCUUGCCAAGCCCAAGGUAGCGGGUAAGUCCAUUUACUUCUUGGCAAAUACAGGAGCUACCUGUUCUGUAUUGCCUUCCUACUCAGGAACUAGCAUACCUUCCCAGGUGUCACUUAUGGGAAUUAAUGAAAAGCCCUCCUGACCCAACCAGACUCCUUCCUUAGCCUGUAACCUCGAGGGGCACCAUUCUCUCACUCCUUCACCCCUCUCCCAUCCAGGGGUUGUAAAACAAGCUUUUAAAACCCCACAUAUCGUCCUGUAGCCUAUUUGUCCAGUUUAACCCCAAAGUCAAGGGGUGGCAGCCUUGCCUGCAACCCCUAAAAAUUACCUUCAGCCAGUCGAUUUCAGUGUUCUCACCUCAUCAACUAACUAACCUUCUCUCACACAAAUCUCUCACUCACCUAGGGCCCUCUCAUCUACAAAAGUUUCAUCUACUCUUUAUUAAAAAUCCUUCAGUUAGCCUCCAUCCUACUUCUCCACUCAACCCGGCUACUCUGCUUCCUCUUCUGCUCCACUGUCCCUCCCCAGCCCAUUCCUGUCCUAAACUCAUAAAUACACUUACUAAACCUCGGGAGAGCUUAACUAAUCUUCCUCCCAAUAAUGGUCGGCCUCUCCCUAGCUUCCUCUCUACCAGCUGUAGGAGUGGGGAGUGGUGCUCUAAGUUACAGCAUCACUUCAGCCCCUCAACUAGACAACAAACUCUGGGUAGCCAUUAAAGCAUCAGCCACCCCUCUAGUAACCCUCCAACAACAAGUCACAUCACUGGCUCAAGUAACUCUCCAAAAUCAGCGGGCCCUAAACCUGUUAACAGAAAAAAAAAA